rnacentral:rRNA from 1 species
GUAGGGUGCGAGCGUUAAUCGGAAUUACUGGGCGUAAAGCGUGCGCAGGCGGAUUGUUAAGCAAGACGUGAAAUCCCCGGGCUUAACCUGGGAAUGGCGUUUUGAACUGGCAGUCUAGAGUGUGUCAGAGGGGGGUGGAAUUCCACGUGUAGCAGUGAAAUGCGUAGAGAUGUGGAGGAACACCAAUGGCGAAGGCAGCCCCCUGGGAUAACACUGACGCUCAUGUACGAAAGCGUGGGUAGCAAACAGGAUUAGAUACCCUGGUAGUCCACGCCCUAAACGAUGUCAACUGGUUGUUGGGGGAGUGAAAUCCCUUAGUAACGAAGCUAACGCGUGAAGUUGACCGCCUGGGGAGUACGGUCGCAAGAUUA